GAUGAACGCUGGCGGCGUGCCUAAUACAUGCAAGUCGAGCGAACGGACGAGAAGCUUGCUUCACUGAUGUUAGCGGCGGACGGGUGAGUAACACGUGGAUAACCUACCUAUAAGACUGGGAUAACUUCGGGAAACCGGAGCUAAUACCGGAUGAUAUUUUGAACCGCAUGGUUCAAAAGUGAAAGACGGUCUUGCUGUCACUUAUAGAUGGAUCCGCGCUGCAUUAGCUAGUUGUUAAGGUAACGGCUUACCAAGGCAACGAUGCAUAGCCGACCUGAGAGGGUGAUCGGCCACACUGGAACUGAGACACGGUCCAGACUCCUACGGGAGGCAGCAGUAGGGAAUCUUCCGCAAUGGGCGAAAGCCUGACGGAGCAACGCCGCGUGAGUGAUGAAGGUCUUCGGAUCGUAAAACUCUGUUAUUAGGGAAGAACAUAUGUGUAAGUAACUGUGCACAUCUUGACGGUACCUAAUCAGAAAGCCACGGCUAACUACGUG
rnacentral:rRNA from 1 species